ensembl:lncRNA
GGAGGGCGACGGCGAGGAGGGGCAUCGCCAACGGGCGGCGGCAAACAAGUUUUCUUUGGGCUCGUCUUCUCUCCCCGCAUGCCAAUCACGCUCGGUGCUUCACACGAUCAGGACGGGAAGUCGGCAUGUGCAGGCGCAUCCAUCCACGGCAACAUUCAAAACGCACGCCGCCUGAUCCCCGGAGCAGCAACGCACCGAAAACAACAACGCCACAACCCUUUACCCCCCCCCCUCCCCCACAUUGAAAUUGCCAACCGGCACGGUGGAGAGCAGAUUUCAGCAUCGCAGGCUGAUUCCACCAGCGAAGCAUCAAAACUUCGAAGCCGAAGGCUCUGCAUCCACAACAAACAGAGUCGAGUGCAGGAAACACAGAACCUGUCGUCUGCAGUCAGUGAAGCUCCGGUCCAGACUCCUGCACGAGGCCUCCUGCAGUAGCUUUGCUUACAGUGCCCCCUUCUGUCAUAUGAUACAACCAUAUAUACACAUUGACUCAUAUGCAUAUGUAUGUACACAGCACCAGUCAGUCAG